CAUGGUAAUUAGCAUUUUCUGUUUAUAAGGUUCCUAUUUAUGUCUCAGAAAUUUGGUAUGUUGUUUCUAGUUAGUUCUGAUUCACUUCUACAGAUCUUCACUUAACUUUUGGUCAUGUUUUCUUCUUGCCUUUCAUGCAAAUGGACCCAAUGCUUUUGCUGUAGCUUUGUAUUGAAAUCUAACAUCAUAAAUCAAGUUGAUGUUUUGCUCCACUAAAAUCUUGUGACUGCAGGUAGGAAGAGCUGGGAGCAAAUAGUGCAAGGAAGUUGACUGUGGAGACUGAAGGUUGUCCAGCUAUUCUUGGCUAUUUUGCAGGUGGAUGUGAUAUUCAAAGCUCUGGAGCCAAGGCUGAGCACCAUCAAGUGGUUGUGGCUGCUCUGCACAGGUGAGUGUGACAGGAAAUACACGCUGAGCUGCAGGUAAACUUCUGGUUUAAUGUAAAUAUUUAUUUAAAUUUUUGUCUCUGAAAGCAAAGCAUUUAUCUCCUGACUUCCCUGUUAUUCAGUACCUGCUGAACUGGGUGUGUAUUUUCCUAAGCUAAGGAAAACCCUCCCUGUGAUUCUGUAAUUUCCAAAGGAGCAGCAUUAAGUCACUUAUGUUUUUCUUGUCUCCAUAACUUUAGCCUGACUGGUGCUCAAAGACAGGAAUGACUCAAGAACUGUAUGUGGUGAAUUGUUAGUUUGGUGGGGAUUUUUUGCAAGUUUAGGGCUAAAAUGUGAUGUAAGAAAAGGCUUUUUUUGCAGCAUUAGAUUUUUGCAGCAUUGCAGCUUUUCAAGCUUUCUAAGUAAGUCACCUCAUUCCAAUUUAAACUCUCUUGAAAUAUGCUUGAUAUGUUGGGUUUUUUUCCCCCAUUGUUAUGUUAGUUUUUGUUUUGGUUUGAUUUGGCUUUCUUUUUUGCCUGGCUUAGGAAACUUUAACAGAUCUCACUUUUUUCUUCUCCAGUUGAGUGCAGUGCUAUCUUCUUAAUUCAGAAAACAUUUGCUGUAUGGAAAAACCACCUUGCCUUGUGAAGGGACAGGUGGGAACUGUUAUAAUGGCCAGUGGCACAGCCCUGCAGCACAGAGAUUCCCUGCAGAUGCUGCUGCUGUACCCGGCUGAUGAGGUGAUAACCAGCUUGGCUUUAUUGCCAAAAUAAAACUUAUCUGUUUUCUUAUGAAUCCCAGCAAACUGUUCUCAAAGGCUUUGUCACUCAGUCACUGCUUCAUUGGUGUGGAGAGGCUGGAUCCCAGUUAUCACCCCAGGAGUGCCCCUGCAUCCCUUUUCCCCACUUUUCUGUUCCAGUCGUGGGAAAUACCUGGGCUUUGUUUUCUUCCCCCUGCAGUUCACUGCAGAUCCCAGAAAACCCACAGGAGGGAAGAUCAUUACUUGUGCUUCCACCACCAGACUGUACCUGCCUAGAGGCUGAGGUGAGACCAGGAUCUGUAAAAUCCCUGACUCCGUGUCUUCCUGAGGCUGAAGCUGUGUUUGCUGUCAGUGACGACAUGGUGGAAGAUGCUGAACACUGAAAACUUCGGAUUUUUUCCCCUGAACCCCAAUACUCUCUGCAGCUGUGCCCUGUCUAUCUCUUGAAAGUUUUCUGGGUUUACAAAGGUUUUUACAUUCUGUAAUAUUUAUCUAUACCUCGAUUAAAAAGAAUCAUACUGUAUCAAUGUGGUGUUAAUUACUUUGUUUGUGUUGGUUAAUUAAAGCAAAUGAUUGAUAAGGGG